CCUACGUGAGGCAGCAGUGAGGAAUAUUGGUCAAUGGACGAGAGUCUGAACCAGCCAAGUAGCGUGAAGGAUGACUGCCCUAUGGGUUGUAAACUUCUUUUAUAUGGGAAUAAAAUGUUCCACGUGUGGGAUUUUGAAUGUACCAUAUGAAUAAGGAUCGGCUAACUCCGUGCCAGCAGCCGCGGUAAUACGGAGGAUCCGAGCGUUAUCCGGAUUUAUUGGUUUUAAAGGGGGCGUAGGUGGAUUGUUAAGUCAGGUGUGAAAGUUUGCGGCUCAACCGUAAAAUUGCCGUUGAAACUGGCAGUCUUGAGUACAGUAGAGGUGGGCGGAAUGCGUGGUGUAGCGGUGAAAGGCUUAGAGAUCACGAAGAACUCCGAUUGAGAAGGCAGCUCACUGGACUGCAACUGACACUGAGGCUCGAAAGUGUUGGUAUCAAACAGGAUUAGAUACCCCAGUAGUC
rnacentral:rRNA from 1 species